rnacentral:rRNA from 1 species
UACGAAGGGGGCUAGCGUUGCUCGGAAUUCCUGGGCGUAAAGCGCACGUAGGCGGUCUUUUAAGUCGGGGGUGAAAUCCUGGAGCUCAACUCCAGAACUGCCUUCGAUACUGGAAGACUUGAGUCCGGGAGAGGUGAGUGGAACUGCGAGUGUAGAGGUGAAAUUCGUAGAUAUUCGCAAGAACACCAGUGGCGAAGGCGGCUCACUGGCCCGGUACUGACGCUGAGGUGCGAAAGCGUGGGGAGCAAACAGG